rnacentral:rRNA from 1 species
UACGUAGGGGGCGAGCGUUGUCCGGAUUUACUGGGCGUAAAGAGCGCGUAGGCGGAAAUUUAAGCGUGGCCUGAAAGCCCCCGGCUCAACCGGGGAGUGCGGCUGCGAACUGGGUUUCUUGAGGACGAUAGAGGAGAGUGGAAUUCCUGGUGUAGCGGUGAAAUGCGUAGAUAGUCAGGAGGAAUACCGGUGGCGAAGGCGGCAUCCUGGACCGACAUUGACGCUGAGGAGCGAAAGCUAGGGGAGCAAACGGG